rnacentral:rRNA from 1 species
UGGGGAAUAUUGGGCAAUGGGGGAAACCCUGACCCAGCAACGCCGCGUGAAGGAAGAAGGCUUUCGGGUUGUAACCUUCUUUUACCAGGGACGAAGAAAGUGACGGUACCUGGAGAAAAAGCUCCGGCUAACUACGUGCCAGCAGCCGCGGUAAUACGUAGGGAGCGAGCGUUGUCCGGAUUUACUGGGUGUAAAGGGCGUGUAGGCGGAGCUGCAAGUCAGAAGUGAAAUCUCCGGGCUCAACCCGGAAACUGCUUUUGAAACUGUAGCCCUUGAGUAUCGGAGAGGCAGGCGGAAUUCCUAGUGUAGCGGUGAAAUGCGUAGAUAUUAGGAGGAACACCAGUGGCGAAGGCGGCCUGCUGGACGACAACUGACGCUGAGGCGCGAAAGCGUGGGGAGCAAACAGG